ACGAACGCUGGCGUGCUUAACACAUGCAAGUCGAACGGAAAGGCCCUGCUUUUGUGGGGUGCUCGAGUGGCGAACGGGUGAGUAACACGUGAGUAACCUGCCCUUGACUUUGGGAUAACUUCAGGAAACUGGGGCUAAUACCGGAUAGGAGCUCCUGCUGCAUGGUGGGGGUUGGAAAGUUUCGGCGGUUGGGGAUGGACUCGCGGCUUAUCAGCUUGUUGGUGGGGUAGUGGCUUACCAAGGCUUUGACGGGUAGCCGGCCUGAGAGGGUGACCGGCCACAUUGGGACUGAGAUACGGCCCAGACUCCUACGGGAGGCAGCAGUGGGGAAUAUUGCACAAUGGGCGGAAGCCUGAUGCAGCAACGCCGCGUGCGGGAUGACGGCCUUCGGGUUGUAAACCGCUUUCGCCUGUGACGAAGCGUGAGUGACGGUAAUGGGUAAAGAAGCACCGGCUAACUACGUG
rnacentral:rRNA from 1 species